GAUGAACGCUGGCGGCAUGCCUAACACAUGCAAGUCGAACGGUAAGUGGUGUUUCGUUUGCCGCUCGUGUUAGUGGCGCGUGUGAUACUUCCCUUUGGAUGGGAACGAGAGCUGGAAAGGGUUGCUAAUUCUCCUCAUACCGAAUACCAAAUAAUGUAAUCAGCCGGAGGGUGCAAUUGGGUCUGAUUAGAUAGCUGGUGAUGUAAGAUCUUACCAAGGCGAGGAUCAGUAGCUGAUCUGAGAGGUGUAUCGAACACACUGGGACUGAGACACGGCCCAGACUCCUACGGGAGGCAGCAGUAGGGAAUUUUGGGCAAUGGGCGCAAGCAUGAUUCAGCAAUGCCGCGUGGAGGAUGAAGGCCUUCGGGUGGGAAAGUAGUAGGAUAAGGGAUGAAGAACUUUCUUUGUAGACAAGGAAGUCAUGACGGUACCUGAGGAAUAAGCACCGGCUAACUACGUG
rnacentral:rRNA from 1 species